rnacentral:rRNA from 1 species
GAUGAACGCUGGCGGCGUGCCUAAUACAUGCAAGUCGAGCGAACAGACGAGGAGCUUGCUCCUCUGACGUUAGCGGCGGACGGGUGAGUAACACGUGGAUAACCUACCUAUAAGACUGGGAUAACUUCGGGAAACCGGAGCUAAUACCGGAUAAUAUAUUGAACCGCAUGGUUCAAUAGUGAAAGACGGUUUUGCUGUCACUUAUAGAUGGAUCCGCGCCGCAUUAGCUAGUUGUUAAGGUAACGGCUUACCAAGGCAACGAUGCGUAGCCGACCUGAGAGGGGGAUAGGCCACACUGGAACUGAGACACGGUCCAGACGCCUAAGGGAGGCAGCAGUAGGGAAUCUUCCGCAAUGGGCGAAAGCAUGACGGAGCAACGCCGCGUGAGUGAUGAAGGUCUUCGGAGCGUAAAACUCUGUUAUUAGGGAAGAACAAAUGUGUAAGUAACUAUGCACGUCUUGACGGUACCUAAUCAGAAAGCCACGGCUAACUACGUG